CCUACGGUGGUCAGCAGUGGGGAAUAUUGCGCAAUGGGCGAAAGCCUGACGCAGCGACGCCGCGUGAGGGAUUAAGGUCUUCGGAUCGUACACCUCUUUCCGCAGGGAAGAACGGUCACUGUGCUAAUCAGCAGUGACUUGACGGUACCUGCAAAGGAAGCACCGGCUAACUCCGUGCCAGCAGCCGCGGUAAUACGGAGGGUGCGCGCGUUCAUCGGAAUUACUUGGCGUAAAGCGCUCGUAGGCGGUAUGUCAAGUCAAGGGUGAAAUCCCCGCGCUCAACGUGGGAACUGCCUUGGAAACUGGCAAACUGGAGUGUGUGAGAGGAUAGGGGAAUUCCAGGUGGAGGAGUGAAAGCCGUAGAUAUCGGGAGGAACAUCAGUGGCGAAGGCGACUAUCUGGCACAUAACUGACGCUGAGGAGCGAAAGCGUGGGUAGCAAACAGGAUUAGAUACCCGAGUAGUC
rnacentral:rRNA from 1 species